rnacentral:rRNA from 1 species
CAGGGAUUGCCUUAGUAACGGCGAGUGAAGCGGCAACAGCUCAAAUUUGAAAUCUGGCUCUCGGGCCCGAGUUGUAAUUUGUAGAGGAUGCUUAGGGUGUGGUUCUAGUCUAAGUUCCUUGGAACAGGACGUCAUAGAGGGUGAGAAUCCCGUAUGUGACUGGUAACCUUCGCCCGUGUUAAGCUCCUUCGACGAGUCGAGUUGUUUGGGAAUGCAGCUCUAAAUGGGUGGUAAAUUUCAUCUAAAGCUAAAUACUGGCCAGAGACCGAUAGCGCACAAGUAGAGUGAUCGAAAGAUGAAAAGCACUUUGGAAAGAGAGUUAAAUAGUACGUGAAAUUGUUGAAAGGGAAGCGCUUGCAACCAGACUUGCACAUGGUUGAUCAUCCAGUGUUCUCACUGGUGCACUCGAUUAUGUUCAGGCCAGCAUCAGUUCUGGUGGUUGGAUAAAGGUUUAAGGAAUGUAGCUUCUUUCGGGAAGUGUUAUAGCCUUAAACGCAAUGCAGCCAACUGGGACUGAGGACCGCGCUUCGGCUAGGAUGCUGGCGUAAUGGUUGUAAGCGACCCGUCUUGAAACACGGACCAAGGAGUCGAACAUUUAUGCGAGUGUUUGGGUAUUAAACCCAUACGCGUAAUGAAAGUGAACGGAGGUGAGAACCCUUAAGGGUGCAUCAUCGACCGAUCCUGAUGUCUUCGGAUGGAUUUGAGUAAGAGCAUAACUGUUCGGACCCGAAAGAUGGUGAACUAUGCGUGAUUAGGGUGAAGCCAGAGGAAACUCUGGUGGAGGCUCGUAGGGGUUCUGACGUGCAAAUCGAUCUCAAAAAUUGCGUAUAGGGGCGAAAGACUAAUCGAACCAUGAGAAUAAGUACUAGGUGGUUAAAAGGCUGCUCAAAGUGCUGCUUCUAGUUCCCAUCUCAGGGGCAACAUUGUCAAUUGCGGGGGAAUUCUACUCCAAACACUUAGGCUACCGCAGCACCUUCGAAAGAGGGUAAUGCACCAGGUUAACGACCUCGGGUAUGGUAACAACGCCUAAGUGGGAAUGAUCCGCAGCGAAUUCCUAAGGGUAAUACACCUAUGGAUGAAGCCCACAGACUCGAUGAUAGUGGGCACAGGCUUUAGACAGCCUGUGUUUAAGAUAGAGUCGAAUCCGCCAAUUGAACUUGGUCGGGGAGGUCAAGAAGCAAGUUGAGACACGCUGUUACAGCGUGCUUGCCUUCUGGAGCCUCUCUGGGGUCACUAUUACAGUGGCCUGGAGAGAAUUAGUUUAGGCUUUUUUUCAGCAAUGCUAGUAGCUGGUUCCUGCCGAAGUUUCCCUCAGGAUAGCAGUGUUGUUUUCAGUUUUAUGAGGUAAAGCGAAUGAUUAGAGGCCUUGGGGUUGAAACAACCUUAACCUAUUCUCAAACUUUAAAUAUGUAAGAAGUCCUUGUUACUUAAUUGAACGUGGACAUUCGAAUGUACCAACACUAGUGGGCCAUUUUUGGUAAGCAGAACUGGCGAUGCGGGAUGAACCGAACGUGAAGUUAAGGUGCCGGAAUAUACGCUCAUCAGACACCAUUCUUGUGGUGUCGAGUUAGUCCCUCGGGGCAAGGUCUUUGAACUGCGAGGAGUGUUUAAAAGCUCACCCGCAGCUGUUCCCUCCCUGGAGGGUUUCAGUUCACAGAUUAAGUGAAGGCCGGUACAGGCCUAAGAGAGCCUGUACUUGAGAUAUAAUCGGCUUUUAGGUGCGAGCCUAGGAACUCAGCGCAAAAGGUGUUAGUUCAUCUAGACAGCCUGACGGUGGCCAUGGAAGUCGGAAUCCGCUAAGAAGUGUGUAAGCUGUUGCACACCAUAGCAUUAUGCUAACGGGCUUCUCCCGUAACAGCUCUAGUAUGCAGGAAAGCAUCUUCGGGUGCUAUCUGCAGCAGUGUUACCACUGUUUACAGGCUAGACGGAGCUGGCUGCAGGGUCUUCCCUCAGUAAAGAUAUAGUCGCUUGAGGCUCUGAAGAGAGUCUACAGCAUAGAACAACUUACAGGCCGAAUGAACUAGCCCUGAAAAUGGAUGGCGCUUAAGCGUAUUACCCAUACUUCACCGCUAGGGUANAAACGAUGCCCUAGCGAGUAGGCAGGCG